rnacentral:rRNA from 1 species
AGUGAACGCUGGCGGUAGGCCUAACACAUGCAAGUCGAACGGCAGCACAGUAAGAGCUUGCUCUUACGGGUGGCGAGUGGCGGACGGGUGAGGAAUACAUCGGAAUCUACUUUUUCGUGGGGGAUAACGUAGGGAAACUUACGCUAAUACCGCAUACGACCUACGGGUGAAAGCAGGGGAUCUUCGGACCUUGCGCGAUUGAAUGAGCCGAUGUCGGAUUAGCUAGUUGGCGGGGUAAAGGCCCACCAAGGCGACGAUCCGUAGCUGGUCUGAGAGGAUGAUCAGCCACACUGGAACUGAGACACGGUCCAGACUCCUACGUGAGGCAGCAGUGGGGAAUAUUGGACAAUGGGCGCAAGACUGAUCCAGCCAUACCGCGUGGGUGAAGAAGGCCUUCGGGUUGUAAAGCCCUUUUGUUGGGAAAGAAAAGCAGCAGGUUAAUACCCCGCUGUUCUGACGGUACCCAAAGAAUAAGCACCGGCUAACUUCGUG